GACGAACGCUGGCGGCGUGCUUAACACAUGCAAGUCGAACGGAAAGGCCCUGCUUUUGUGGGGUGCUCGAGUGGCGAACGGGUGAGUAACACGUGAGUAACCUGCCCUUGACUGUGGGAUAACUUCAGGAAACUGGGGCUAAUACCGCAUAGGAGCUCCUGCUGCAUGGUGGUGGCUGGAAAGUUUCGGCGGUUUGGGAUGGACUCGCGGCUUAUCAGCUUGUUGGUGGUGUAGUGGCUUACCAAGGCUUUGACGGGUAGCCGGCCUGAGAGGGUGACCGGCCACAUUGGGCCUGAGAUACGGGCCAGACUCCUACGGGAGGCAGCGGUGGGGAAUAUUGCGCAAUGGGCGGAAGCCUGGUGCAGCGACGCCGCGUGCGGGAGGACGGCCUUCGGGUUGGAAACCGCUUUCGCCUGUGACGAAGAGUGAGUGACGGUAAUGGGUAAAGAAGCACCGGCUAACUACGUG
rnacentral:rRNA from 1 species